GGUUCCUUGGCCGAGUGGUUAGGUGCCGGUCUGCAAAACCGUUAACGGCGGUUCGAUUCCGCCAGGAACCU
rnacentral:tRNA from 1 species